UACAGAGGGUGCGAGCGUUAAUCGGAAUUACUGGGCGUAAAGGGUGCGUAGGCGGUUGAAAUAGUCUUGGGUAAAAGCCAGAAGCUCAACUUCUGAGUUUGCUUAAGAUACUUUUCGACUAGAGGGGCAAAGAGGUGAUUGGAACGAAUGGUGUAGUAGUGAAAUGCGUUGAUAUCAUUCGGAACACCGAAAGCGAAGGCAGAUCACUGGGUGCCACCUGACACUGCUAGGACGAAAGCGUGGGGAGCGAAUGGG
rnacentral:rRNA from 1 species